UUGGAGCCAUAAUGGACUCCAAUAAUGAUAGUUGAUAAAAGUCGUCAACGUAUGAGAUUAAAUUGAUGACAAAUUAAUUAUUCCUAGCUAUCAGGGUAAUUAUUUGAGUGUAUUAAUUAAUAUUCAAACUAAUAAGCUAGAUAGGAAUUUGAAUUUUAAAUGCAUCGAAGAUUUUGCAACGAAUUUAAUCAAAUAAAUGAAUUAAAAUAUCAGAUAUGUUACGUGCUUUUUCUUUCAAGAGACAUAAUGGGUUUAAGUAGCGAUCAACCGUUUUAAUGUUAUUUCAAAUGUGUUUUCUUUUGAUGUCAAGCGUAAAAUGUAUUCGUAUAAUGUAAGGUUAGUCGGAUAGAAAUGAUUAUAGUGGUAAUUAGAUAAUGAUAAAAUUGAUUAUUUGUGUUUCGAUGAAAGGUAAAUAUAUUUCAUGUGUCAACAAAAAAUUUUUUGAUGUUAUCUGAAACCGUUUAAAAAAGAAGCACAACAAUGAAAAUCCUCAUGAAUCAACGAGAGAGAAUAAAAGACGACAGUUGGUGAUAAAAAUCUAGGAUUCUUUUAAAGUAGUUUCGAUACAUACAUGUGUAUAAAAUAUGUACAUGUGGAUAUAUAAUCAAUGAGAAAAUCUUGACUUUAAAGUCGGAUGCAUAUAUUGGGAAAUUCGAGCAAAAUAGCUUUCAGUCUGGGCUUUAAAUAUUUGUGCUGUACGAUUAGAUAUACCAACUGAAGAUUAUUCACGCCUGGAUCUAUCCCUAGAAUGACCAGAUUCUUUUUAAAAUUAUUUAGAAUCCGCAGCAAUAUGCAAGUUGGUAUGUGGAACAUGUUGGAGACUUAGAAAAGACAUUCAAAAUAUUAACAGAAGUGUCGAUUAGUCGCGGGUUGGAGGUAUUUCCUCUACAGCUUCCAAAAACUCUCAACGGGGUGCUACUGUUACCAUAAACAUCAAGUGUUGAAGUGAGUGAGAAAGUGACAUGGCAAAGGAAAAAUAAAGAAACGGAAGGAAGGACGAAUUAAAUAAAGGUAUAGACCAGGUCAGUUGUCUGGUAAUCUCAUUGUGGCUCUUCUAUUGCGUAGUAAUAUUUUGCUGUCAAUUGUUUACUCCGUAGCUAAUCGACACCUUUCAACUGCUUUUAGAACAUACUCAGUGAUUUAUCAUGUAACUAUUUGGACAGAUAACUUUUUCAUUUUUUUUAAUCAUUUUUUUUUUCUUUUUUGUUAGGAAUCAUUCUUUUUUUCAGCUUUACAAUGUAAUAUUUUUCUAUUCAACCUCAUAACAAGCAUUUAAAAGAAAUGAUAAUAAAUUGAAAUAUGAACAAGGCAAAAAAGAUUGAUGAAGAUGACGAAAAAUUUUUUUUUAUAACUCUGAAGGAUAUCUUUUUAUUCUAGACAAUAUUUUUGAUGCAUUUAUCAAUUGAGUAAAUAUCAAGUAGAUAAAUAAUUCGGAACUUGACCACCUCCACAGUGUGAGAAACUAUUGAUUACUUGAAAGCUAAUAAAAAGUAUAAAAUAUUUAUCAACACGAUAGGUGGAGAUAUUAAAUAAAUUAAAAUAAAUACGAUGGAAUGGAGUUGAUAGCAUUGGAUAAAUACAAACAGCACAUAAUAUUAAAAAGGAAAAAAAAAAUAAGAGAACAUCUGGUAAGCGAGUGUGCUAUCUUGUUAUCAUUUACAAAUUUAUAUAACACUUGUAAUAAUUUGAAUUUUCAAGCUCCAUGCAAAUGUUAAUAAUUUUUAUUGAUCAAUGAUAUCAUCUCAAUUACUGGAACUGCUGACAAAAUGAUUUUCUAUCAUCAGUAAUACAGAUAAUUUGACGAUGAGAGAAAAUUGAUCGUGAACAAGAUCAGGAGCAAGGUGAAGGCAUAAAAAAAAAUCGAAAGAUGCAAGCUUAACGUGAGAUAGCUCAGAGAUAGUUUCCGGCCAAUCGGCUCGUUAGCAUCUUCGUGUUUCUACUGACGGGAACGAUAACCGCUCGUUAACGGCGAUUAAACGGCAAGCUAAACAUCGACCACGCGAGACGAAACAAUCUCAGAGGCCGCUUGGAAGCGCGAUUAAAAUAAACAACUUGCCAGUUUACUUACAAACUACUCUACAUCUUUUUCUCUUUUCUUUUCUCACUCAUCCCUUAUUUAAUCACCUUUAUUCCUUUCUUUUAAUCUAUAUUUAUUUCACAUCAUUUGAUGAUUUUUUUGUAUGCCAAUAGAUAGAAUGCCAUUUUUAAAAUCAUUGAGAUAAGAAAAAAGGAUCCUUCAUAAAUUGACAUUGAAAGUGGUAAUUUGCUCAACUUCAAAGAGAGAUCAGUGUCGGCAUUUAAAAGGCAUUCGGGUCGUUGCUCCAGUGUUGCGAGCGGCUUCUAAGUAAAGUCAAAACGGAGGCUUUAACUCGGAGACUUUAAAUAAGAAGAGAAGCAACACGCAAAGAAGAAUGAGAAGGUGUAUAACAUGAGAUAUUUAAUAAAAGAGAAGAAGGAAGACUAAGAAGUUGGCACUUUGUAUUGAAAAAAAAUCAACUAUAUAUUAUUUUUUUAUCUCUUUUAUGUAUUCAUAUUUAUUUAUUUCAUCCACUUUUCUUCUUUCUCUUAAAAAUUUUCUAUAUAUAUUUUUUUUUCUUUCUUUCAGAUCGAUAUUUGUCUGGCUUGUUAACGCCCCACAGUCUGAACAACACCAACCGAUUACGUUUGUACUCAUCCGCACGCACUUUUCUCUCAAGCCGUCUUUAACAUGUAAGCCGCAAGUAUCUAAUAUGGGGUCUCAUCAACACUCACAUAAAAUAACUUGACAGAGAGAAAUUAUAAGAUAAAAAGUAUAUAGGAUCUUAUCGCUAAAUUGGUGGUCCGAAAGGCGACGAAAGACGUCAAAGGUACAAGAAAACCAUUAGCAGCCGCCAUAGUCGGGGCAAGAAGUUAAAUUAAUUACUAUGGUGCUCGGUGGGCCCGGAGAACGCGCGGUACGUCGCGAGGAUACCGAUGGUUUAGCCUUCACGUCGUUCUCCUUCUUAUUCUACAUCUUCUGUAUACACAUUCAGUCUUCACUGCAUUCCGUCGCGUCCACUUAACGUCGAAGUUUUAAAUUAGGACGAUAAAUAACAAGGCCACGACGGAAUCUUUACCAGCCAGGUUUUUUUACCCCGUGCAAAUCGUAGCUCUUUAGUCAACAAGUCCUCUGAUGCUGCAACUACCACCAACUCAGACCAAAUUCCAAGGAUCUUAUGGGCAUGUAAACUGACCACUUGUACUCCGAAAAGUACUCUUGGUUUUUAGAAAACGUUGAGAAUUUUUGAAAACUAUUUAUCUUUUUUCCUUAACUUCAUUAAAUUUAACUCCACCAAAAGUCAGAACUUUAUGACAAAUUAGCUGGAAUGUACAGCAAUUACUUAAUAGCAUAAUGAUGAUGAAACAAGAUUUGGAAAUGGACCAGAUAACAGAAGAACUUUGAAUGCUUGGCAUUAUAACAAAUCAUUUGGAAUGCUCUGCAAUUAGAUAACAAUAAAGUAAUGCUGAAACAAGGCUAGAGAAUGUAUCCGAUGAAUGUAUAGAUUCUUCAAAGGUAACGAGGUUUUCUAAAUUGGUAUUUAAUACAUAGCUGAUGUUGAUGCUGAGUAAAAAGAUUCAACAAGUAUGAAGAGAAGAAAUAAGCUGUCUGUAUACGUACUGGAGCGAAAGAGUUACUACAGAAGAAACAAUCUCAGGUUGCCGUGAAAGGGUUAUAUAGCGUCAUAUCUAUAAUACAUCUGGCCCUCAAGAAGAGCUUCGAGUAUAUAUAUGUAUACACAUAUAUUUUUAUAUAUAUAUAUAUAUAUACAUAUAACUACUUGCCCCCUUGAAUAGCAGGUUUGCUCUCUCUUGUUUUCUCCUCUGCUUCUGCCGGCAUGGCGCCCUGCCUCCAUUGUACCUACGCCCCAACUGAGGAUCGAUCUUCACGGCAAUACAACCGCCACACAGUCACCACGACUAUAACGGAGCAAUAAUUUAUUUCCGUAUGAAUCAUACUCCAUACUAUUUCUAUAAUUAUGAAAGAUUGAUAUUUUUAAUAUAUCUUACCAACUUGAUCGUGAUUUAGUUACUUUGCCAAAGAGAAACUGGGGUGCAUUACUUUGAAUGUGAUGCAUUAACGAGGCUUGCUCUGUACCUACACUCUGGCUACAGGACAAUGCACAAUGGAAUGUCGCCACAUGAAUUAUACAGUUAUUUAUUUAUAUCAACUUAGAAUCUGCAGUUGUAUUUAAGUAGCGAAGAAACAAAUUUUUCAUGCAAGUUAUUUUUAAUACAACUUGGAGUACUAAGUAUUCUGAUGGAUAUUGGAACAGGAUAUGUUCAUAUCUAUGAUUUUGAAUUUAAAUUCUAUUCAUUGACAUUAGGCUCAGUGUAAAGAGAUAAUGUUUGUCAUGACAUAUGUGCGUAAAAGACAACGGACUCUGAAGCAAACCUAUAAAUUCUUCAACGUGAGUUACUGUGUUUGGACAAGAGUCAGGACAAGAGAAGAAGAAAGUACAGAGCACAAGAUAAUAUGAACCCUGAAUAAUAAUAGAAGGGAGAAAAUUAUUGAUACAUAAGGGUAAAGGAUAAUAUGUAUAAGAGUGAGAGAAAAAAUAGUACACAGUGAAAAAAGAAAAAAAUUAAGAAUCAUCAGUGACGUUCCUUUCCCACGUCGGUCAUUGUCGACCUCAAACUGGUCAUUGGAUCCCGUCGGCUAUGGAGGAAGGAAGUGGUCGCGAAGAUCACUUUACAACAAGAGACAGCAACCACUUGCUGAACCCUGUCGCCCUAGUUCAUAGUGGUUAUUUCUUUUUUUUCCAAUUUUAUUUAUUCCUCAUGAUAAAGCAAACUCGUCGACUAUUUUUAAUCGAUGAAAUAAAUAAAAAACUUAUUAGCAAAAGUUGUAUGUCUUCCCAAAAGCUGAUCGUGGGAAAUAAAUGAGCGGAAUAUUUUGUUCAAAAAUUCUCGCUAUCUUUAUGGAAUAAAUGAGGCUAAAGGACACAAGAUGCGAUAGCAGCUCGAAGAUGAAAUAUAAUAUACUGUGAGCAUCAGGAAGAAGAAGCAGAAGAAGAAGAAGAAGAAGAGAAAAGGUCGGCCAUGACGUUCUUUUGACCUGUUUGACCUUAUGCGCACUUCUCACCGUGCAUUAUGGCGGCGGCUAUAGGGCCUUCGGCCCUUCCUUCAUCCUUUUUCUCGAUGAGUCUCAACCAACCAGAUUACAUUUCUCUUCUGCCUUCUUCUUCAGUUCUCGCAUAAUCGAAGCUUUGCAAGAGAGAAAUGCCAAAGUAGAUAGGGACCCCUGGCCUUGCGGUUUCCAUCUUCAUGCACGUAUCACUGCGUGCACAGCCUCGGGAAAUUUAGUAUAACGUGGUGUAAGAUAUUUUUUUGAUGAUGGAGACAAAAUGAAGAGGCAAAAAAUUGUCUUAAGGGAAGGACAAAAAAGAACGCAAGUGAAUAAUAAAAAGAAUAGAGAAAAGAUAAAAGCAAGGAGAAGCGGAGAGAAUGAAGGCGCAGAUAACUAGUUUGGAUCCUAACGCGGUGUAAAACCGUUUUCGCCCUAAAAACUCGAACGGCCAUCCCUCUUGAGCGGCCUUAAUUAGCGGCGGCAUGGUGAAGAGAAAUUCUAUAGACAAAGGGAGGACGAUCAACUAUAUUGCCACUCGUUUUAAUAUACCUGCUUCUUAUGGACGUCACUCAAAAGGACUCCUUGAAAAAUCAUUAGCAGACCUCAUUCCUCAUCGUUCAUUCAACCAAUUUAAAUCAAUUCUCACAGGCGUGAUCGAGUUAUAUUGUAAAAAAAUAAUCUAAGAAUAAAUGUGACAAGGUGGAGAACUGUGUAAUGGAGUCAGAACAUUGUAAAGGUAUGACAUGUGAUGACUGAUGAAUUACCUACUGAAUAACGGACGUAUAUGAUUGUAAAACGUACAAGAGAUAGAGAAUACUCUGAAGAAGCAAAAUACAUGGACGAUACUCCCUGGUGAUCGUACGGGGGUUCAACAUCUACUACAGAGGCCCAACAGCGUUAAUCCCCCGCUCAUUAGUAACACGCCACGGACAGCUGACCAUAAGUAACUCUGACAUUCGAGCUGUUUCUCUCUUUCUUUACCCUUCACAAGUGAUUCGACUCACGUCUUCGGCCUCCAACGCCUUGGUUUUUGCACACUUUGCAAAGCACGCGAUAGCUUCACCAAAUUCCACUUAAUUUUUUAAAAAUUAUACAACAAUAGAAAACGUACAAUUUUCAUUCCAAGGUUCUGCAUAAUUUGCUCUAUACAUCAUAAGUCGAGAUAUCCAGUAUCAUCCAGACAAAGAAGUCAACUAUCGAUAUAGAAAGAGAACAUUUUUAUGGAUGUAAAAUUUUGAAAUCAAAUAAAAAUAAUCUUUAGCAAAAUUAUCUUAUAAACUAUCAGUAUUUUCUUGAUAAAAAAUGAAAAUAAAUGAGAAUAUACUUAUUGAGCUUAUCGCUAAAGUGUUCAUUAUGAUAAUCAACGAGGAAAUAAUUGCAAUAAGAAUUCAAGUCUGUAAGUGAUGUCAAUAUCUAAAUAAGUGGAAUAAAUUGAUCGAGUGACCAGCAAUCGUCUUGCAAGUGACUUGGGUGUGCUGCACGCAUCACGCAAGGAAACUCGAUAGUCGCACGUGGCAACACGUAAUACCGUGUGUGCGCUUACGACCUCGAGAAAGAACGAGGGAAUAAGAAUAUCAGAGUAAAAGAAAUAAGACAAAAGCACCAGUCGAUGACACCAAUCGCCAUCUCGUUAUCGUACCUUUGCUAUAUGGGAUACAAUUCAUCUUGUCUCGACUUCUCUUCCAUGUCUAGUCACUUAUACUGUGUAUUAUAAGGUAUAAGAUAUCCCUGUUAUAAAAAAAGUCAUCGAUGGGGCAUCGAUCGGGACCCUCCUUCAAGACAAAGGAGUCACUGACGUCAUUCUAGAGUCGUCGAGUCGUCAGGCGAGAACCUGAUGCUUUAUAGUCCUUGGAAAGAUGAGUGGCUUCAUCGUACUCUUCCCUUUUUUUUAUUUCCCCUCUCAAUAUUUUCCACCUUAUUUUCUUAUUUUCACUUUUAUUAAACGUAACUCAUACGUAUUACAGGAAGUGAUGAUAUCACAGUCCAUUUUUUAAACAUCUGUUAUUUACUAAAAUGAUUUUUUAAAUUGACAUGAGUACACUUUUAAAUCAUCCAAGUAUACACAAGGAAAAUAUAGAUGAAUAUUAUAAUUAUUAUUUCGAGAAGUCUACUUAACUUAAAAUUACAUGGAAAAGGAGAAUGUAUACACGUUGAUAUAGUCAUUUUCUAGGAACAUAUAUUUCCUAAAGAUGAGACAGGUCGCCAAGAGAUCCUGUAAAUAUUGUUUCUGGGUUUGUUUACCGAGAAUAUUACUCUAAAACGUGUCUGUCUCUUUACUUUAUCCUCAUAGACAAUUUGACAAAGCAUUAAGUUAAAAUAUUUUCUCAAUCAAAAUUUGCUGUUAAAACUACACAUAUUUGCUCAAUAACACCAUCAGGACGAAUCUUUGAUUUUAUUUCCGAUGAAUGUUAAUCAAUUUGUCAACGAUUUUAAAAGUCAACCUGAUAUAUAAAAAUAAAAAAGAGAGAGUCAAGUAGUACUCUAGAAUGAUUGACGUAAAAAGUGACGAUGACAACUAAUAUAUUCCAAGUAUUCUUAUGCAUAAGUAUGGGAUCUUUCUAAUGUUAAUGAAAGUAAUAAAUUUAAUCGAUAAAUUAUUGAAUUAUUGAAAAUAAGAACAAAGAUGAAAAAUUAAAGGAAAUUACUUUCUAUAGUAAUGUGUCUGUUCACUGAUUUUAUUUCAAGCCGCACCUGUUUCUUAAGAUCUUUAUUGUACUGGUAAAGAAGAUAGAAAAGCAUAUCUCGCGAUUUAAAACGCCGUCGGCGACGAAAAAAGAGAAAAUGUUGGAAAUAAAAUUUAAAUUCCAUAAGACAAGAGAUUGAAAUGAUUUUUUUUUUAAUGAUGGAAUGAGUUGUAAAGUAAUCUACACAAAUUGGAAUACAAAAGAUUAGUAAUUCAGUAGUCGAGCAAGGUGCAAAGUAACGUAUAAACAGCAAUAAAUGCACUAUGAAUAAAAUGCUAACGAGCGGCAGUAUAAACAGAUAAGCUUUAAACCCACGCAUCUUGCUCAUGAUGUAGUCAAGUCAGUAAACACAUAAGUUAACUAAAGUGUGUUUUAAAGAGUGAAUCAUUGAGUGAAAUGGAUUCAUCACCUGGGUCAUGAGUCUGUCGGCUCCGGUCCCUUCUUCAUCUUUGAAGAUAAUGUCAGCAUUGUAAUUAGGUACCAGAUUUCUGAACCUGGAAUCGUGUCGUGACACACGACCCUCAGGGAGUCCACUAGCAGGAAAAAAUUACUAGGAUGUUUCUGGAAACAGAUACCAUACAGGAGGCAAUCGAUUCGUCAACAAAGUAUAGAAAAUCAUCAAGAGAAUAGAGACUAUGCACAAAACGUCUCAUGUUCAACGCGCUUUCUACGCGCUGCAUCACACAGGUCCAGCGCGCACGUCGUUCGUUUCUCCUCGUUUUUUGUUUACUCACCAAGCGAACUGGUUUUGCGGUUAUACGCUCUCCGCACACACUACAUUCGACAUUCUCUCUCCCGCACGCUCGCUCACAUCGUUGUCCCUCUGGGAAACAGAACCAGCUAUUUUCGGGUACGCAAAUAACGAGACACUGAAUCUUGUUUCGAUGAUGUUUGAUGGCACUGUUACCAUCAAAUUCUAAUGUUUAUUCGGAAUACAAAAAAAAAAAUUAGCUACAACUUGGAAGAAUUUAUAGAUGUUUUUAUAAAUCACAAAGUCAAUCACAACUACACAUAAACGGUUUAGUAUGAUCUAUAAGUCCUUUACACGCAGAGACAAAGGAAUGGUCUCUUCUUUCUCCACUUUGUAUGAUAGCUCCUUGUGCUCGAUUCGCAACAUCCACCUUGACUCCCGCGAUCCUCCCUAGUCCAUUCUCUCCACCAUGUACCGCAAAGAGAGAGCCAGAGGGAGAAGAGAAAGGCACAGGAAAAGAGGAACAAUAUAUGGUAUAUAUAUGAAGAAAAAGAACUAUAAAGUUUUGGAGAGCUAAAGGA